UACAGGGGGUGCAAGCGUUGCUCGGAAUCACUGGGCGCAAAGCGAGCGCAGGCGGCCGAUUAAGUCAGAGGUGAAAGCCCGGGGCUCAACCCCGGAAUGGCCUUUGAAACUGGUAGGCUUGAAUGCAGGAGAGGGUCGCGGAAUUCUUGGUGUAGAGGUGAAAUUCGUAGAUAUCAGGAAGAACACCAGUGGCGAAAGCGGACGCCUGGCCUGACAUUGACGCUCAUGCUCGAGAGCGUGGGGAGCAAACAGG
rnacentral:rRNA from 1 species